AAACACAAGCACUAACCUCGAAAUCGCCUCGCCAUUCAUGGUGAAUAAAUUCGUCUGUGGUAAUUUAGCAAGCUGCUCAAUCGUUCAGUUUACAUCUUGUCUAGGCUACUGUAGACUAUCUGAAAUGAGAUGUAGGCCUAUCAUGGGAUAUAGGCUAACUGUCUUUAUCUAAGCAAACCAUGGCAAAGUUGAAUUACAAUCAUAAACACAGAUUUUAGUCUGUAGCCUAUGCCUAUUGCAAAGACAAGUCAAUCUUGCAAAUUGGCCAUUUAUAACGGUUUGUAGACUUAAUAUCGGGUACAUAAUAGCACAAUUGAUAGAAAAUAGCCUAACAUUAGUUUAAAAAAAAUCUUCAUCCAUGUAUUUCUUGCUCAGGGAUUUUGAGAUCCUCUGUCCAGCUUUCAUCACUCAAACUCUCCUGUCGGAUUUUUCUGUAGUUAAACACAUGCACAAAGGGGAUUUAUUUACAAUUAUAAACUGGGUGGUUCUUGCUGACUUUAUUGUCCCCAUGAGGACAAUUUGUUGAGUUGUCAUGUACACGUUUAAAUACAAAACAAAAUUGACAAUACAACUUUCAUAACAGUUAUAUACCAAUAAAAACAUUUUUUAAAGACUAGCCUGCUGACUUUACUGAGUUGAUAGGAACAUUAGCCUGAGCUAUUUAGGUGGGAUAUCACACCUGGCACAAAUUAUUGUCUAGUUCUGUUUGUCUCGUUCGAGCCCUGAAUGCUGAUUGGCUGAAAGCGAUUGUAUAUCAGACCAUAUACCAUGGGUAUGACAAUUUGUUUUUGUUUUACUGUUCUAAUUAUGCAGGUAACCAGUUUAUAAUAGCAAUAAGGCACUCAGGGGGGUUGUGGUAUAUGGCCAAUAUACAUACCACUGCUAACAAAUGUAUUGAGGCACUCCGUGUUGUGUCAUGAUUAAGCACAGCCCUUAGCCAUGGUACAUACCCCUUUGUGCCUUAUUGCUUAAUAAUAGCAGUCAAACGAGUUAAGUCGACAUCCAUUGAUGGAAAAUUAUCUGGCGAAUUUAAUAAGGGCAAAUUGUAUUUUCUCUUGAACAUGUUCAAAUUCCUAUAUUACAUUAUGUCAUAGCUCACAAAUAUUAUUUUGAGGAAAACCGAAUUUCGCUUCUCAUGUCGAUAACGUUAUGGAAAAAUGUUUUAUUGUAUACAUGUGGCAACUCCUGUCGUGCAAAAAAGGGUUCGUUUUCUUGUCUUUUGGGCGGGUUUUGAGUGGUCAUUUCGUCUGAAAUUUAGCUUGACCUGGCAACAUGACCUGAAAGAAUGUGCAGAAAAAUACGGAGAAACGCAACAUCGUAACUGCUGAAAUUGUAUUUGCUGUAAAUGUUGUGAUUAUUUCAAGCAUUUGAAAUCCACUCGUUGGCGUAUGGAAGUCAACGCGUCCCAAAUGUAGCAGAACAUGACGGCACAAAGUCAAAAUGUCAACAAAGGAAGGAAGAAGACAUCCCAACCUGGAGUAGCAGGUCUGAGCAACCUAUCAAAUGGGAGUCCUGCAAAUCAAAACACUCACAUUUCAUUUGUGCAGGAUUCAAGAAGGCCAGAUGAGUUUGACUUUGAGUGUGUGGUAAAUUCCAAAUUCAAAAACUCAAAAGUUUGGUUUUGUGAGAAAUGUCGCUUUUUGACCACAGAUUUUGAUGAUUACAGCAGCCAUAUUAUGGAGCAUGCGGUGAUGAGAUUUUACUGCUUCUAUUGUAACUAUGUCUCAUACAGCGAGGCCGAAUUAAACCACCAUGUAGAACAGCACACCAGAGUACACCCCUUCAAGUGUCAGUUCUGUGAUUAUAGAGCUGUGAAGAAAGACUAUGUUGAAAUGCAUAUGAAGCGAAUACACAAUGCCCCUCCUGAGAAAGUAUCCAUUGCUUUGCCCAGAGCUCCCAAACCGGCCUCUAUCCCCAGUGCUCUGCCCAGAGAUCCCACAUUAUCAGCGAUCUUAAAUACAAGGGUCGCACCUUUGCGCACUAAGAAUAUCACAACCAGAGUGGAUGAAGGAAGACCUAUGGAUGGGACACUGGAUGCAAACAUAUUGCCCAAAGUAGAGGUGGAGCUGUUGGCACCUUUAAAUGAACCAAUUCAACACAACAGGCCUUUGACUGUCUCUUUCCCUGAAGUGGGGACCAUCCCCCCUGGCUGCCUUGUUGAACUUGUUGAGGUGAAAACAGUCAAUGGCACCAAGGAACUAAAGUUGAGACUUGUCUCACAACAAUCUAAUGGGUCUGUAGCGAAAGCCUGUCGGACCACAACCUCACAAAAUGCCACUUUGUGUAAAUCAUCGAUGUCCAACGCCACUCCAACUAGAGAAAAGCCAGUGAAGAAGAGAACUUGCACAGCCAACAUAUCAGCCCGACAAAUAAAUAACCAGAAACAAAAGGAGUUAACAACUGCCCCCAACACAAAUGGCAUACAACUGAAAAAACACUCUGAAGAGUUGCUGGUGAUGGUGAAAGAUGUAAAUCAGCCAUUUGAGAUAAAGAAAGAGGAAGUGAAGGAAGAGAACUGUGAUUCUGUGCAAAAAUCUGAACGCUUGACUUCAUUUACAGCUGUCUCGAGUGUGUCCAUGAUGGGAAACGUCAAUGGCACCAAAUCGCCCUCUGUUGCACCUGCUGCAAUGUCGUCUCUUGUAUUGUGCAACCCUAGAAGUAGCACCCUGGUCAUUCCCUCUCCAACAAACCAACCUAAAGAGGAUGAGACUUGUCAUGUGGCUGACUCAAACACCUCUGGUUGGACUCAAUCUGAGAAUCCAUUAGUAGAUGACGUGCCAGGACCAAAAGGUUUCCCAGUCAUUUCAGCUGUAUUUUCUCUAAGUAGCCCUCAACUCUUGGCGGUGGCUCUUCGGACCAUAGCUUUGGGUAACAAUUCACCCUCUGCAACGGUAGAGCAAGGAAAUGUCAAGAAUUCUUUGAUCCUCACACCUGCUAAGACAACAGCAGUGUGCAAAGGGCAUGAACACAAGAUAAAGCCAGGAAACACUGACAUGGCCCCUGAGGGUUUGUCCUCUGUUCAUGCACCUCAAAUGACCUCAAAAGCCGGUCACCAGAUGCAGAGUGCUCAAUGUUCUAGACACACCCAAUCACUAACAAGUAAUCCCUUGAGCACCAAGGGGGGAAAUAACAGUGUUACAAUAAAGCUUCACAAGAAAACAGUUUUGAAUAUGAAAAAAAGUCCUCAAAAUGUGGCCAAAAAAACAGUAAACACACGGGACAGUUGGAUUGGCCAAAUUAACACUGAAAAAGGGUCAGUCCCCAGACACUGGAAAAGUUCAGCAAACAAGCGUGACAUUUCUGGUAGACUCUCUUCCUGCCUGAAGCUCUCAUUGAAAAGGAUGCGAGUAGAAGAGGAAAGUAGCCUUCAACGUUGUGCACCUGAGUUGAACCAACGAAGGAAGAAAAGAAGACGGCGAGACAUGGUAUCUGGGUCAAAGACUUUCACCCACCUGUUAGAUACCACAGGUGACAGGGUUAUUAUCUGCCCAACUCCACUGAAAGAAGACCAGCUGGUGAAGCAACCAGGCCCAAACCAACCUGUUGUGGUUCUCAAUCAUCCCAAGCCUCUGGUUCUGAGAGGGAGGGGGGGAAUGGAGAUGAUUCCAGACAUUGGUCCAACAUGUCACAUAAUGAAAAUGAAGUUGAGCAAAGUAAUGGGACAUACGUAUGAGGUGAUUGGAUGUACCGUUAAGGCCUCUCCUUAGGGUGAUGACAAAUUGUUAUGGAAAAUGAUAGAUUUAUUUGCUGGGAACAGAACACUAAACAUUGAGUUAUCAAGACAAGAGUCUGAUGCAUUGCGCCAUUAAGGGUUGGCUUGCACUCAUUUCCAGGGUCCCUAGAUGAGCUUCAGAUUAAUAAUGGUUAGACAUUUCAUACAAUAUGUUACUUCAUGGAUGAUGAAAGACUGAACCCCAUUGAGAGAAACAAGUGGGCAUUCAGGCAGGCAUAUUUAAAAAUAAUAAUAAUAAUAAACAAUUAGCAUUUUUGCUGAAGUAUCAUUGAUAGCACAGAUGUGUAAAUAUGAUUGUAUAUUUGAAUGAACUUGUACUUUUUUUCUGAUGGAUGAACAACUGCUUAAAUUAAAUCAAUGUUAAUUAUUUUGAAUGCAUUUUGAAUAUAAUAAUAUGUAACCUCCUGGUUACUUUUAGCCGGACUGCAUUGGGAGAAUAGAACACCAGCGAACGCAGUCAGCAACGUUACUAAUUUGUUGUUUUGAGUAUUUAAAUUGAUAACUCACUCUUUAAUUAAAUAAAUAGCUACACAAAAAUAGUGUGUAGAAUGAUAGCCAUGAGGACAGCAAGGGAUUUUUUUCUUCAACAGUCAUUGAAAGACCAGGCACAUCUCUCUGCCGUUGUCUCUGAAAAAGCAAUUGUAGCUAGAGCUGCCACCCAAUACCAGUGUUUUUACAUCAAAAUAUAAAUAGUUGUCAAACCUACUACAGAAUUCUGAAAAUGUUACCAUAUGGUGAAUAGAAUGUUCAUGCUAAACCUCUUUCCAUUGAUCACUAACUUUUUGUAUUGAAGUUCUGAAAAAAGUUUGGUUAUAUUAUCCAACCUCAUCAUUCCUGUUUUAUAUUUUGCAUUUAUUAGGGUUGACUGACUUGACAUUAACAUUUUAAGUUCCUAGUGGAGCAAAGUAACUCAGUGCUACUCUAUUGAACCCUUUUUUGGACUUUUUUAACCAUCAUUCCAGGUGGUUCCUGCCAUUUUAUCCCUUUUUCAUUCAUGUUUUCUUUGGACUUUUUGUCAUGGUUACUGCUGUAUAUUGCUAGAAGUGUUUGAACCGCUCCCUCAAUCAUCUGUUUUUCUGUUUUUUUUUUCUGUAAAAGUAUCAGAGAAAAUAUUGAGAUGUUUUAGGUUGGACCAUAACAAUAUAUUUAUCAAAUAUAGCUCUUGUUUAGAUGUGGUGCGGAUCUUUAAAUGUACAUGUAUUUUGGUUUCCUUUGAAAUUUCUCUCGUCUUUUAAAUGGGAGUUAUUUGCAUAAUAACAAUUAUAGUUGUUGUUCUCAUGUUGUCAGUGUUUUCUGUCCUCUAUGUAUUAUCUUAAUGUGCCAUUUUGAAUAAAGAUCUUUUUUCAUA